rnacentral:rRNA from 1 species
UGGGGGAUAUUGCACAAUGGAGGAAACUCUGAUGCAGCAACGCCGCGUGAGGGAAGAAGGUCUUCGGAUUGUAAACCUCAGUAGUCAGGGACGAAAGAAAUGACGGUACCUGAAGAGUAAGCUCCGGCUAACUACGUGCCAGCAGCCGCGGUAAUACGUAGGGAGCGAGCGUUGUCCGGAUUUACUGGGUGUAAAGGGUGCGUAGGCGGGAUAGCAAGUCAGACGUGAAAUACCGAGGCUUAACUUCGGGGCUGCGUUUGAAACUGUUAUUCUUGAGUGAAGUAGAGNCAGGCGGAAUUCCUAGUGUAGCGGUGAAAUGCGUAGAUAUUAGGAGGAACACCAGUGGCGAAGGCGGCCUGCUGGGCUUUAACUGACGCUGAGGCACGAAAGCAUGGGGAGCAAACA